rnacentral:rRNA from 1 species
CCGGCGCACGGGUGAGUAACACGUAUCCAACCUGCCGUCUACUCUUGGACAGCCUUCUGAAGGAAGAUUAAUACAAGGUGGCAUCAUGAGUCCGCAUGUUCACAUGAUUAAAGGUAUUCCGGUAGACGAUGGGGAUGCGUUCCAUUAGAUAGUAGGCGGGGUAACGGCCCACCUAGUCUUCGAUGGAUAGGGGUUCUGAGAGGAAGGUCCCCCACAUUGGAACUGAGACACGGUCCAA